UUCUGGGAAGAUUAACAGAUUGAGAGCCCUUUCUUAAUUCGGUGGAUGGUGGUGCAUGUCCGUUCUUAGUUGGUUGAGCGAUUUGUCUGGUUAAUUCCGAUAACGAAGGAGAGUCUAGACUAUUAAAUAGGUGCGUGGAUCUCUGCACCUUGCACCCUUCUUAGAGGGACAAGCGGCUCCUAGCCGCAUGAAACAGCAAUAACAAGUCUGUGAUGAACUUACAU
rnacentral:rRNA from 1 species